UGUAGCUGCUUGCCUGAUCUCCUCUAGAGAUCACAGCUUGAGUCCUUACAUGAAAAAUGUUCUCUCCACCAUGUCUGACAGUCUAAACCUGGCAACGCUCUACCUGCUGAGUACAACCCUCCAGGUAUACAGAAGAUAGAAGGACCUCUCAUGACUUGCUCAAGGGCUACGAUGCUUUCUUCAGAGAUUGAUCUUUUUGGCGAGACAAACUCAAAAAAAUAUAUGUAAUUAUACAAUUGAUGAAGUCUGAUUCCUUUAAAGCAGAAAUCUGAGAGAUGAGAAUGCCCUUUAAUUUGCAACACACUUCAUGUUGGUAUGGUAUCAUUUGUUGUCAUGUUGUAUAUGUUAUCACAUUGUGAGGCUAAAUUUAUUCAUAUUUCUGAAGGACUUUGGGAUCUCUGAAUAUUUUAUAUACAGGUGUUCAGAAGUACUAUUAUGAACAAAAAGCUGCCACUAGCUAUAGACAAGAUGCAUAUUUUCUUUCUACUCUGCCUUGCAUUUCAAUUUCUGUUAAAUAAAAUAUAUUUUUGUUCUCAAUGUGCUGAAAUAUGGAAUAGACCUCAUGAGCUCCGUUUUUAAGCUUCUUCCAGAAUGCAUGCAGGUUUCCAUUGGAUAAUGGCAUUUCUAUAACUGUAGAAUCACAGAAAGCCGGGAUCUUGCCAGUAAGGAAGCCUAAGUAUUAAAGGAUUACAGUGGGAUACUGAGAAAUAUCUGUUCAGAUAUGGUGUUUGUCACUUUUGCAAAGCUUUGACAUAUGUUUGGAGUCUUCUGGGCAAUUAGAAAAUCUCUUCCUAUAAUUAAUGCUUUGGAUGUCUUUUGCUCUUUAAAUCCAUAGUAGCAAUUGCCUUUGCUUCAGUUUAAGACAGAGUACAUAAAUCAGAUUCACACCGAAGAGCUUUCUCUAAUUUUUCAGAAGUGCUUGUGUACCUCUACAGUACGAAAUGGGUAUUAACUCCACUGAAUAACACUAUAUCAUAAAUAGGUUGAAUCAGAGUUCUCUACUGAUUGCCACUGAAUAACGUACUGAAGACAAAAUCAACACAAUUUAGUGCUCUUGGAAAAUGUAUGGAAAAAUAUGGUGGUUUCUCUCAGUGGGUAUUCUUCAAAACUCCAUUAAGUUUAUCUGAAUAUGUGGUGCUGCUCUUUCUAGAAACUCCGCAGUAUUUUUUCCCUUGUAGCAUUAAUGUGUAGGAAACAAAACUUUCACCAUCAAGAGAAGCAUUUAGCCAGAAACUUUAAAAUUGAUUCAAAGAAGAAAAGCGUCGCUGAAUUGGUUUACUGUCCUUUCCCUUCUGCAGAUGUAAGGCUGAAUACUGAG